CGAGCGGGGGAAGGUAGCUUGCUACUGGACCUAGCGGCGGACGGGUGAGUAAUGCUUAGGAAUCUGCCUAUUAGUGGGGGACAACAUCUCGAAAGGGAUGCUAAUACCGCAUACGUCCUACGGGAGAAAGCAGGGGAUCUUCGGACCUUGCGCUAAUAGAUGAGCCUAAGUCGGAUUAGCUAGUUGGUGGGGUAAAGGCCUACCAAGGCGACGAUCUGUAGCGGGUCUGAGAGGAUGAUCCGCCACACUGGGACUGAGACACGGCCCAGACUCCUACGGGAGGCAGCAGUGGGGAAUAUUGGACAAUGGGGGGAACCCUGAUCCAGCCAUGCCGCGUGUGUGAAGAAGGCCUUAUGGUUGUAAAGCACUUUAAGCGAGGAGGAGGCUACUUUAGUUAAUACCUAGAGAUAGUGGACGUUACUCGCAGAAUAAGCACCGGCUAACUCUGUGCCAGCAGCCGCGGUAAUACAGAGGGUGCGAGCGUUAAUCGGAUUUACUGGGCGUAAAGCGUGCGUAGGCGGCUUAUUAAGUCGGAUGUGAAAUCCCCGAGCUUAACUUGGGAAUUGCAUUCGAUACUGGUGAGCUAGAGUAUGGGAGAGGAUGGUAGAAUUCCAGGUGUAGCGGUGAAAUGCGUAGAGAUCUGGAGGAAUACCGAUGGCGAAGGCAGCCAUCUGGCCUAAUACUGACGCUGAGGUACGAAAGCAUGGGGAGCAAACAGGAUUAGAUACCCUGGUAGUCCAUGCCGUAAACGAUGUCUACUAGCCGUUGGGGCCUUUGAGGCUUUAGUGGCGCAGCUAACGCGAUAAGUAGACCGCCUGGGGAGUACGGUCGCAAGACUAAAACUCAAAUGAAUUGACGGGGGCCCGCACAAGCGGUGGAGCAUGUGGUUUAAUUCGAUGCAACGCGAAGAACCUUACCUGGCCUUGACAUACUAGAAACUU
rnacentral:rRNA from 1 species